rnacentral:rRNA from 1 species
AUUGAACGCUGGCGGAAUGCUUUACACAUGCAAGUCGAACGGCAGCACGGACUUCGGUCUGGUGGCGAGUGGCGAACGGGUGAGUAACAUAUCGGAACGUAUCCAAUAAUGGGGGAUAACGAGUCGAAAGAUUCGCUAAUACCGCAUACGCCCUACGGGGGAAAGCUAGGGACCUUCGGGCCUGGCGUUGAUGGAGCGGCCGAUGUCUGAUUAGCUAGUUGGUGAGGUAAAGGCUCACCAAGGCGACGAUCAGUAGCUGGUCUGAGAGGACGACCAGCCACACUGGAACUGAGACACGGUCCAGACUCCUACGGGAGGCAGCAGUGGGGAAUUUUGGACAAUGGGCGCACGCCUGAUCCAGCCAUUCCGCGUGAGUGAAGAAGGCCUUCGGGUUGUAAAGCUCUUUCGCAAGGGAAGAAAACUUAUCCUCUAACAUAGGAUGAGGUUGACGGUACCUUGAUAAGAAGCACCGGCUAACUACGUGCCAGCCGCCGCCGUAA